AGGACGAACGCUGGCGGCGUGCUUAACACAUGCAAGUCGAGCGAUGAACUCUCUUCGGAGGGGGAUUAGCGGCGAACGGGUGAGUAACACGUGGGCAACCUGCCCUCAGCUCUGGGAUAACUCCUCGAAAGAGGGGCUAAUACCGGAUACGACUUCCCCUGGCAUCGUGGGGAAGUGGAAAGUUUUUCGGCUGAGGAUGGGCCCGCGGCCUAUCAGCUUGUUGGUGGGUAAUGGCCACCAAGGCGACGACGGGUA
rnacentral:rRNA from 1 species